GGAUCCUUUCCUGCAGGAAUUCAGCAGAACCGUGUUACACUGUCCAUGGUCUAGAGAGGCACUUGGUACUGACAAACGAACAGGACAUGUCUUACCUUUGAUGGAAUAACUGGCUUACUGGACAGCAUUUUUUUGUGACCUCGAUGAAACAUAAGACAGAAAUGCAGCGUUAGCCGAAGGCAUUACUCUGUGUUGGAGGUGGAGAAAGGGGAGAAGAGGUCACUACCAGCUUUCUAACAUCGUGUCCGCUGUGCAAGGGAAAGUCAGCAGAAGAUGGU